GCCUCCCUCUAUCAGUCAUGCUAGUAAAUAUAUAUAGGAACAAAUUAGGUUAAUGAUAAUGGGCCUAAGUUUAUUUUGAAACCCAAUAUUAAAUUAAAAACUGAAUAAAGUUAAAUAAUUAAAAUAGUUAAAAUUAAAAUAAAAACUAAUUAACCUAUUUAUUUAUUCUAGACCCAAUAUAAAAAUAAAUAGACUCAAAAAAAAAAAAGUCGGGCACCAAAAUGCUCGAAAAAAUAAAAUGAACACGUCAAAAUAAUCAGCGCGAAAUAAAUGACUCGGAAAAAUACAGCGUUUGGUCGGAUUUUGAAAUAAAAAUUAUGACCGUUUAAACUGCUCAGACUGAUCAACAUAUGACCAAAAAUAGUCGUAAAAAUAUUUUUAGCAUGUCAAAU
rnacentral:lncRNA from 1 species